rnacentral:rRNA from 1 species
AGUUUGAUUCUGGCUCAGAUUGAACGCUGGCGGCAGGCCUAACACAUGCAAGUCGAACGGUAACAGGAAGAAGCUUGCUUCUUUGCUGACGAGUGGCGGACGGGUGAGUAAUGUCUGGGAAACUGCCUGAUGGAGGGGGAUAACUACUGGAAACGGUAGCUAAUACCGCAUAACGUCGCAAGACCAAAGAGGGGGACCUUCGGGCCUCUUGCCAUCGGAUGUGCCCAGAUGGGAUUAGCUUGUUGGUGGGGUAACGGCUCACCAAGGCGACGAUCCCUAGCUGGUCUGAGAGGAUGACCAGCCACACUGGAACUGAGACACGGUCCAGACUCCUACGGGAGGCAGCAGUGGGGAAUAUUGCACAAUGGGCGCAAGCCUGAUGCAGCCAUGCCCGCGUGUAUGAAGAAGGCCUUCGGGUUGUAAAGUACUUUCAGCGGGGAGGAAGGGAGUAAAGUUAAUACCUUUGCUCAUUGACGUUACCCGCAGAAGAAGCACCGGCUAACUCCGUGCCAGCCGCCGC